rnacentral:misc_RNA from 1 species
GAUGAAGAACGUAGCGAAAUGCGAUAAGUAAUGUGAAUUGCAGAAUUCAGUGAAUCAUCGAAUAUUUGAACGCUCAUUGCGUCCGCCAGUAUUCUGGCGGGCAUGCCUGUUCGAGCGUCAUUUCAACCAUCAAGCCCCAGGCUUGUGUUGGGGACCUGCGGCUGCCGCAGGCCCUGAAAACCAGUGGCGGGCUCGCUGUCACACCGGGCGUAGUAGAUUUUAUCUCGCUCAGGGCGUGCUGCGGGUCCCGGCCGUUAAAAGCCUUUUUUUACCCAAGGUUGACCUCGGAUCAGGUAGGAAGACCCGCUGAACUUAAGCAUAUCAAUAAGCGGAGGA